rnacentral:rRNA from 1 species
GAUGAACGCUGGCGGCGUGCCUAAUACAUGCAAGUCGAGCGAACAGACGAGGAGCUUGCUCCUCUGACGUUAGCGGCGGACGGGUGAGUAACACGUGGAUAACCUACCUAUAAGACUGGGAUAACUUCGGGAAACCGGAGCUAAUACCGGAUAAUAUAUUGAACCGCAUGGUUCAAUAGUGAAAGACGGUUUUGCUGUCACUUAUAGAUGGAUCCGCGCCGCAUUAGCUAGUUGGUAAGGUAACGGCUUACCAAGGCAACGAUGCGUAGCCGACCUGAGAUGGUGAUCGGCCACACUGGAACUGAGACACGGUCCAGACUCUUACGGGAGGCAGCAGUAGGGAAUCUUCCGCAAUGGGCGAAAGCCUGACGGAGCAACGCCGCGUGAGUGAUGAAGGUCUUCGGAUCGUAAAACUCUGUUAUUAGGGAAGAACAAAUGUGUAAGUAACUAUGCACGUCUUGACGGUACCUAAUCAGAAAGCCACGGCUAACUACGUG